UAGAAUUACCCGAAUGGGUCCUA
rnacentral:siRNA from 1 species